GCCCUCGUAGCUCAGUUGGAUAGAGCGACCCCCUCCUAAGGGGUAGGCCACAGGUUCGACUCCUGUCGAGGGCACCA
rnacentral:tRNA from 1 species